rnacentral:rRNA from 1 species
AUGAGUUGCUUAAGCUGGAACUGCCGGGGGCUUGGGAACCCAGCGGCAGUUCGCGAGCUUCGCAAUGUUGUGAAGCAAGAAGGGCCUAGUCUCCUCUUUGUGAUGGAGACGAAGAUAUCGGCUAAGCGGGUGGAAAGUCUGCAUAAUCUACUUGGUUUCGCGGGCUGUUUUGCAGUUAAUAGCAAUGGAUUAAGUGGCGGAAUUGGUUUGUUUUGGUCGGCUGAGAUUGAGGUUGAUUUG